UACGGAGGGUGCGAGCGUUGUCCGGAAUCACUGGGCGUAAAGGGCGCGUAGGCGGCCUGAUAAGUAGGGGGUGAAAUCCUGCGGCUUAACCGCAGGGCUGCCUUCUAAACUGUCAGGCUAGAGCACAGUAGAGGCAGGUGGAAUUCCCGGUGUAGCGGUGGAAUGCGUAGAGAUCGGGAAGAACAUCAGUGGCGAAGGCGGCGAUCUGGGAAGAUACUGACGCUGAGGUGCGAAAGCGUGGGGAGCAAACAGG
rnacentral:rRNA from 1 species